rnacentral:rRNA from 1 species
GUGGGGAAUCUUAGACAAUGGGCGCAAGCCUGAUCUAGCCAUGCCGCGUGAGCGAUGAAGGCCUUAGGGUUGUAAAGCUCUUUCGUGGGGGAAGAUAAUGACUGUACCCCAAGAAGAAGCCCCGGCUAACUCCGUGCCAGCAGCCGCGGUAAUACGGAGGGGGCUAGCGUUGUUCGGAAUUACUGGGCGUAAAGCGCACGUAGGCGGACUGGAAAGUCAGGGGUGAAAUCCCGGGGCUCAACCCCGGAACUGCCUUUGAAACUCCCAGUCUUGAGGUCGAGAGAGGUGGGUGGAAUUCCGAGUGUAGAGGUGAAAUUCGUAGAUAUUCGGAGGAACACCAGUAGCGAAGGCGGCCCACUGGCUCGAUACUGACGCUGAGGUGCGAAAGCGUGGGGAGCAAACAGGAUUAGAUACCCCUGUAGUCC